GCAGCCGUGGCCUACUGGUUAGCGCUUCGGACUUGUAACCGGAGAGUUGCCGGUUCGAACCCCGACCAGUAGGA
rnacentral:tRNA from 1 species